rnacentral:tRNA from 2 species
UCCUCGAUGGUCUAACGGUCAUGAUUUCCGCUUGUCAUCUUAUUCUAAGAACAAGCGCGGGAGACCUGGGUUCGACUCCCAGUCGGGGAG